UAGGGAAUCUUUGGCAAUGGACGAAAGUCUGACCGAGCAACGCCGCGUGAGUGAAGAAGGUUUUCGGAUCGUAAAACUCUGUUGUUAGAGAAGAACAAGGACGUUAGUAACUGAACGUCCCCUGACGGUAUCUAACCAGAAAGCCACGGCUAACUACGUGCCAGCAGCCGCGGUAAUACGUAGGUGGCAAGCGUUGUCCGGAUUUAUUGGGCGUAAAGCGAGCGCAGGCGGUUUCUUAAGUCUGAUGUGAAAGCCCCCGGCUCAACCGGGGAGGGUCAUUGGAAACUGGGGGACUUGGGUGCAGAAGGGGAGGGUGGAAUUCCAUGUGUAGCGGUGAAAUGCGUAGAUAUAUGGAGGAACACCAGUGGCGAAGGCGGCUCUCUGGUCUGUAGCUGACGCUGAGGCUCGAAGGCGUGGGGAGCAAACAGG
rnacentral:rRNA from 1 species